ensembl:ncRNA C17C3.22 ncRNA
CCGGAUAACCCCAGUAGAGCAGUUCCAAAAAUUAAAGUUGUUUGACACUCUCUUUCGAAAGGUCAGAACUCCAGCGUACCUUGAGUAACUGGGUUAAAACCGACUAACACUGCGAGACA